rnacentral:rRNA from 1 species
UACGUAGGGGGCAAGCGUUGUCCGGAUUUAUUGGGCGUAAAGAGCGUGUAGGCGGCUAGGUAGGUCCGUUGUGAAAACUCGAGGCUCAACCUCGAGACGUCGAUGGAAACCAUCUAGCUAGAGUCCGGAAGAGGAGAGUGGAAUUCCUGGUGUAGCGGUGAAAUGCGCAGAUAUCAGGAAGAACACCCGUGGCGAAGGCGGCUCUCUGGGCCUUGCCUGACGCUGAGGCGCGAAAGCUAGGGGAGCGAACAGG